rnacentral:lncRNA from 1 species
GUUGGGAGAGGAGCCUCCGCUGCUGGGAGAGGGCAUCAUCAGGACGUCCCGGCGGUAGAUGGCAUCAGUGAAAGAGAAGACGUGGAAACCCGGAGUCGCCGUUCUCCGCGGCCCCGGCUCCGCCCAGGUCCUGCUGGCCAAGCGCCCGGCCAAGCUGGCGCGGUCACCGCGGGGACAGUUAAAGAGUUGUUAAAAGAUUUUAUUUAUUUAUUUAUUCACGAGAGACACAGAGCGGCAGAGACACAGGCAGAGGGAGAAGCAGGCUCCACCCAGGGAGCCCGACGUGGGACUCAAUCCCAGGUCUCCAGGAUCAGGCCCUGGGCUGAAGGCGGCGCUAAACCGCUGAGCCCCCCGGGCUGCCCCAUGCUUUUAUUUUUAAAAGAUUUAUUUAGGAGAGAGAGAAGGUGAGAGUGCCGGGGUGGGGGGUGGGGGGUGGGGGGCGGAGGGGCAGAGGGCCGGCUGCAUCAGAACGGAGCCCUGCCAGGGGCUCCAUCCCACAACCCUGAGGCCUGAGGUUGUGACCUGAGCCUGAACCAAGAGUCGGAUGUUUAACCCCCUGCAGCACCCAGAUCCCCAGGGCCGGGGGGCUCAGGGGUUGGGCGUCUGCCUUCAGCUUGGGUCAUGGUCCCAAAGCCCCAGGAUGGAACCCUGUGUGGGGCCCCCUGCGCAGCCAGGGGUCUGCUUCGCCCUCUACCCCUCGCCCCUCUGCUGCGCACGCUCUCUCCCCCCCACCAAAUAAAUCAUAAAAUCUAAAAAAGAAAAUGUUUCUUCUAGAAUUUUUAAGAGACAGGAAGACCUUUCUUUCUCUCGACCAACAACCCACGGAGAGUGUGGAGAGUGGUAAUCAGAAGGCCCGGUGGCCGCUGGCGCCUGUUUAGCACUUCCUGGGACCUUGACCAGUCUCUUGGGAAGAAUCGGGGCCCAGCACAAUGCUUUCCUGCCCCCCGCUCUGUAGAAACGCCGGUGACCCGCGUCUCUUCCCGGCUCUUCCUGGGGCCCCGUGGCCUCGGGGCAGCGUGUGUCCCGCCACCAUGGCCCUAUUUACUUCCCCGCCCUGACCCGGCUGACCCGG